GAUGAACGCUAGCUACAGGCUUAACACAUGCAAGUCGAGGGGCAGCAUGAUUGAAGCUUGCUUCAAUCGAUGGCGACCGGCGCACGGGUGAGUAACACGUAUCCAACCUGCCGAUAACUCGGGGAAAGCCUUUCGAAAGAAAGUUUAAUACCCGAUGGAAUAGUAUUUCCCCUUGGUUUCACAAUUAAAAAACUUCGGUUAUCGAGGGGAUGCGUUCCAUUAGAUAGUUGGCGGGGUAACGGCCCACCAAGUCAACGAUGGAUAGGGGUUCUGAGAGGAAGGUCCCCCACAUUGGAACUGAGACACGGUCCAAACUCCUACGGGAGGCAGCAGUGAGGAAUAUUGGUCAAUGGACGAGAGUCUGAACCAGCCAAGUAGCGUGAAGGAUGACUGCCCUAUGGGUUGUAAACUUCUUUUAUACGGGAAUAAAGUGGAGUAUGCAUACUCCUUUGUAUGUACCGUAUGAAUAAGGAUCGGCUAACUCCGUG
rnacentral:rRNA from 1 species